CACGUAGGGCGCAAGCGUUGUCCGGAAUUAUUGGGCGUAAAGAGCUCGUAGGCGGACUGUUGCGUCCGCUGUGAAAAGCUGGGGCUUAACCCUGGCCUUGCAGUGGAUACGGGCAGACUAGAGGUAGGUAGGGGAGAAUGGAAUUCCCGGUGUAGCGGUGAAAUGCGCAGAUAUCGGGAGGAACACCGGUGGCGAAGGCGGUUCUCUGGGCCUUACCUGACGCUGAGGAGCGAAAGCUAGGGGAGCAAACGGG
rnacentral:rRNA from 1 species